rnacentral:lncRNA from 1 species
CUGAGUGUGGGUAGUCAAACUCCACAAUUAAGAAUGUAGAUCUGAAAGUCCUCUCUAAUCACUCAUAGCCGCACAAACAUCCGACCUCUAUGGAUGAUCCACACGAAGUCCUCCGAUCGAUCAGCCCUCCGUGGGAGUGCUAGCUCGCGCAGUCGGCUUCUGAUGGCAGAUCUGAUUUGAUCUCUUUCUUCAAUCAUCUUGAAUCUUUUUGAUAUCAAAGAUAGAGUAGAGGGAGAUGCUAGAUAGUGGAGAAAAAUCUGAUGAAGACUCUCUUCUCUAUAGUUUUUCUCUCACCCAAAACCCUAGAACAAUUCUAGGUCACUCACCCGAG